CUAUGUUGCGACCAUAUGCGACGAAGCCUGCAAACCGCGGAAGACGUAUGUGGAGGAAAGACUGUACAGUCUGUGAUACAGACAGGUUGCUACAUUCGCCUGUGUCCUUGCUACCUUUCUCUGCUAGCUCCCAUCACUGCCCCUCCUACAAAGAGUAGUAAAGUUGCUACAAAGGGGGCCAAACAAAUCGUAGAAGAAAAUGUGUCCACCUUGAGUUUUUAUAGAAAUAUGGUUUUUGGGGCCGCAGGAAUUUAUCUAACAGCCAUGAUGGUGUUUUUUGAAUUCACCACAUUAACUAUUACAUUAACGAUAUUAUCAGGUAUUGUAUAUGUAGCAAGCUAUCAAUUUAUGGGAUACAUGGCAAAAGCAAAAUAUACUGAAUCUGGACAGUUACUAGAUUCUGGAGUAGAUCUUAAUCUAGAAGGAGGUGUUGCGGAGCACGUAAAAGAUUUAAUUAUUCUAACAUCAGGAGUUCAAAUACUCUCUCUUAUUUCAAAUUACUUCUGGCUGUUAUGGUUAUUGGUACCAUUAAGGGGUGCCUGGAUGCUGUGGAGUAAACUCCUUUCCCCCUGGUUUUUCUCGGCACCACCAGUUCAACCAGAAAUCGACGAGAAAAAGCAGCGCAAAUUAGAGCGAAAAAUGGCAUGGCGACAUUGAUAAUCAUACAGCCACUACUAUUAUGUCAUCUGGUUAUCCUUGAUAAGAGACAAGACUUUCUUAGAGCGAGAAAGGAAUUAUAAGAUAAGAGGGAAAGUGGGAAUCCCAAUCAAGGAACUAGAAUAUUAGAACGAUGACUAGACUAGUAAGUUCCUUUAGUGAAUCGUACAGUAAAGCAUAUUGUGCCAUAUUUUCCUCUCAUCUG